rnacentral:rRNA from 1 species
UACGAAGGGGGCUAGCGUUGUUCGGAAUUACUGGGCGUAAAGCGUGCGCAGGCGGCUUCUCAAGUCAGGGGUGAAAGCCCAGAAGCCUCAACUCUGGAAUUGCCUUUGAGACUGAGUGGGCUUGAGUACGAGAGAGGUGAGUGGAAUUCCCAGUGUAGAGGUGAAAUUCGUAGAUAUUGGGCAAGAACACCGGUGGCGAAGGGAGGGC